rnacentral:rRNA from 1 species
UACGUAGGGUGCAAGCGUUAAUCGGAAUUACUGGGCGUAAAGCGUGCGCAGGCGGUUGUGCAAGACAGAUGUGAAAUCCCCGGGCUUAACCUGGGAACUGCAUUUGUGACUGCACGGCUAGAGUACGGCAGAGGGGGAUGGAAUUCCACGUGUAGCAGUGAAAUGCGUAGAGAUGUGGAGGAAUACCGAUGGCGAAGGCAGCCCCCUGGGAUAACACUGACGCUCAUGCACGAAAGCGUGGGGAGCAAACAGG